rnacentral:lncRNA from 1 species
CACCACUUCACGUCUUCACAUCCCCACCAAAAUUCCCUCACUUUCACUAAUCACUACUAACCUAAUUGUAAUUCACGCCAAAUUAAGAGGAUCUCAUCUCCACUUUCACCUUUUGCAGCUAGGGAUCGAAACCCUGGAAGCCGCCCGCCACUGAGCACCCUAGUGUCGCCCGCUGCUCUGCACCCUAGCGGCGCUGCCCACCGCUCUUCUCCAUCAGUCGCGGCACGCCGCUCUGCACACCCUAGCGCCGCCGCACGCUGCUUGCUCCAUAUGCCGCCGCUCGCCGCUCUGCUCCAUCAGCCGCUGCACGCCUCCGCCAAAAUCGUAUCAUUUUCCUUCCAACCCCUCUGUUCCAGGUACAGUUGAAUUAAUUUAUUGGUAAUCAGAUUUAUUUUUCAAUUUACUGCAUUUUCUCCCUCUGUUCCUUUUUUGGCGGUCGUCGAGCCCCUUUUCUCCGUUUUGCUGUUUUCUCCUCGACUCCCUUUGUAAACGUUAUUUUUGGGUUGCAUGCAGACCCGCUACAGGGCGAUUUUCCAGAAGUAAUAGAGGAGUAUUUGGAGUAUAUCAGUAAUGGCGAGUGAAGGAUGCCCGGGUUAUUAAUAUUUCUUGGCAGACUUCCUUAGUCCUUAGCUUCUUUAACAGAUCUAUUAGUGUGAUUUUGUUAUGUACAUUUGUGUUUUGUGUUGGUAUAUGUCAGUUUUUUUUUUGGUGAAAUAUAUGUCGAAACUGUGGAGCCGCCCGCCGCUGAGCACCCUAGUAUAUUACU